rnacentral:misc_RNA from 1 species
AAGUCGUAACAAGGUUUCCGUAGGUGAACCUGCGGAAGGAUCAUUAACAACGUUUUCUUUCUUCUUGAGAAGGAAAAUUGUUUUUAAAACCCCCUCAUUGAUUGCGUGAACAUGGAGUCAACAUUUCAUUAUGUUGGUUCUUUCCCCUCUACCCUAUUUUUUCCAACCCCAAACAACCAUUUUUUUUGCUUUCUUCGUUUCGACGAUGAAACAGAAAAAAAAACUAAAAACAAAAAAAAUUAACGAAAUGCUGAACAACUCUUAACAACGGAUAUCUUGGUUCUC